ensembl:lncRNA
AUGCUGCCCAGCAGGACAAAUGGUUUCCGGGUAUUUGGUUUAGUGAUGUCUCUUCAGUUGUGACACUUAAUUGUCCCCAACAGGGACUGGGCAGCAGCUGAGCCCCACCUCUUCCUUUUCUCUGGUAACCCCAGACAUAGUCAGCAGCCUUUCCCCUACAGAAAUAGCUCAAUGGUAAGUGCUGAAUCAGAUGUAAUUGAUGAAUUACUGCAGUGACAGGAGGAUGGGGGUGGGUAAAUUCUGUGUGUGUGUGUCGGUGAGUGCAAGAUUCCUCCCACGCACUCUCUGACUGAUGCAAAAUGCUGGGAAUUGUGCUCUAGCAGAGCAUAAUAUAAGAAGCAUAACCUGGAGAAAUCUGUGAGUACUUGCCAAUAGCAAAAACCCAGCUGAAGGGGCGGAGAAUGCUGAACGUUCUUCUUCGGGGUUUUCUCUUGGAGUCUGUGCUUCCUUUAGAGUAACGUUACACAUUAUUGAGAGAGAGAAAACCCUUUCAGACCACGGCUGACCCAUGUCUUCUGCCAAGUGACACUGGUUUCUUCCCAGCAUUCGAAAAGCCAGGGAGGAGGAGGAGGGAAGGAGGCCAAUUCUCCAUGCAUCAUCAGCUGCGUAUACACUGGACUGGCCCCAAAUACACUGACAGCAUCUUCCCUCUUCAUUCUCCAGAGGCCUUAGGCCUAGUUGUUGCUGCUGCUGCUGCUGCUGCUGUUGCUUCACAGGGAGAGGAAGUCUCCGAAGCUGUUUCUGGGAAGUUUUUCAGGAGGACUCACCGACAGAGCGCAAAACUCACAAACCCUUUCGCAAACUGCGAUCUAAGCGUGGUUUCUCCCCAGGCACAGCCAAACACAUUGUUGUCUGGAAGGAUUGUCCAGCGAUUCUUGUCAGGUGCCUUGCUGCCUGCCGUGGGAUGUUACAAGGAGCUGUGUGUUGAGAAAGGAUAA